rnacentral:rRNA from 1 species
UACGUAGGGUGCAAGCGUUGUCCGGAGUUACUGGGCGUAAAGGGCGCGUAGGCGGCAUGCCGCGUCGCAUGUGAAAGCCCCCGGCUCAACCGGGGAAGGUCGUGCGAAACGGGUGUGCUUGAGGCAGCGAGAGGCGAGUGGAAUUCCCGGUGUAGUGGUGAAAUGCGUAGAUAUCGGGAGGAACACCAGAGGCGAAGGCGGCUCGCUGGCGCUGACCUGACGCUGAGGCGCGAAGGCGUGGGGAGCGAACGGGAUUAGAUACCAGUGUA